AGUGAACGCUGGCGGUAGGCCUAACACAUGCAAGUCGAACGGCGGCACAGUAAGAGCUUGCUCUUACGGGUGGCGAGUGGCGGACGGGUGAGGAAUACAUCGGAAUCUACUUUUUCGUGGGGGAUAACGUAGGGAAACUUACGCUAAUACCGCAUACGACCUACGGGUGAAAGCAGGGGAUCUUCGGACCUUGCGCGAUUGAAUGAGCCGAUGUCGGAUUAGCUAGUUGGCGGGGUAAAGGCCCACCAAGGCGACGAUCCGUAGCUGGUCUGAGAGGAUGAUCAGCGACACUGGAACGGAGACACGGUCCAGACGCCUACGGGAGGCAGCAGUGGGGAAUAUUGGACAAUGGGCGCAAGCCUGAUCCAGCCAUACCGCGUGGGUGAAGAAGGCCUUCGGGUUGUAAAGCCCUUUUGUUGGGAAAGAAAAGCAGCAGGUUAAUACCCCGCUGUUCUGACGGUACCCAAAGAAUAAGCACCGGCUAACUUCGUG
rnacentral:rRNA from 1 species